rnacentral:snoRNA from 1 species
CUUCCUUGUGAUGAACUAUUUACGGAUGUAAAACUGUCCUUCGGGACGUGUCAUUGGUCCGAGAGCGCAAAACCGUGUGGAUCUCUCCGUUGCCUUCCUGCUGAUCCUGGCU